AUACGGAGGGUGCAAGCGUUAUCCGGAAUCAUUGGGUUUAAAGGGUCCGCAGGCGGAUUAAUAAGUCAGUGGUGAAAUCCUCUCGCUCAACGAGAGAACUGCCAUUGAAACUGUUAGUCUUGAAUUCGGUCGAAGUAGGCGGAAUGCGUCAUGUAGCGGUGAAAUGCAUAGAUAUGACACAGAACACCGAUAGCGAAGGCAGCUUACUAGACCUGGAUUGACGCUCAUGGACGAAAGCGUGGGGAGCGAACAGGAUUAGAAACCCUAGUAGUCC
rnacentral:rRNA from 1 species